rnacentral:misc_RNA from 1 species
UACACAAAUAUGAAGGCGGGCUGGAACCUCUCGGGGUUACAGCCUUGCUGAAUUAUUCACCCUUGUCUUUUGCGUACUUCUUGUUUCCUUGGUGGGUUCGCCCACCACUAGGACAAACAUAAACCUUUUGUAAUUGCAAUCAGCGUCAGUAACAAAUUAAUAAUUACAACUUUCAACAACGGAUCUCUUGGUUCUGGCAUCGAUGAAGAACGCAGCGAAAUGCGAUAAGUAGUGUGAAUUGCAGAAUUCAGUGAAUCAUCGAAUCUUUGAACGCACAUUGCGCCCUUUGGUAUUCCAAAGGGCAUGCCUGUUCGAGCGUCAUUUGUACCCUCAAGCUUUGCUUGGUGUUGGGCGUCUUGUCUCUAGCUUUGCUGGAGACUCGCCUUAAAGUAAUUGGCAGCCGGCCUACUGGUUUCGGAGCGCAGCACAAGUCGCACUCUCUAUCAGCAAAGGUCUAGCAUCCAUUAAGCCUUUUUUUCAACUUUUGACCUC